AAGGGUGUUUUACCUGCUCCUUGAAGAAUUUCAGUGAAGUGUGGGUGAGAACACUGUCAAAUGAGAGCAAUGAAGUGUGGGUGAGAGCACUCUCAAAUGAGAGCAAGUACCAUGAGAGUGAUUUGUGAAAGCAGAGGUUACUUUUUUUGUAUACACAGUGAGUGAAGAAAGUAUUUUAUUUUUUAGGGUUUCAUAAAUAAAAUAAUAAAUUAAAAAAAUAAAAUUAGGUAGGUGGGUUGGUGGGCUAACCCGGCUCACCACGGG
rnacentral:lncRNA from 1 species